rnacentral:tRNA from 1 species
GGUUUUAUAGUUUAAAAAAAACUAUUAAAUUGCAAAUUUAAUAAUACUUUUAAGAAGUUAAAACUU